rnacentral:rRNA from 1 species
UACGAAAGGGGCUAGCGUUGUUCGGAAUUACUGGGCGUAAAGCGCACGUAGGCGGCCUUGUAAGAUGGGGGUGAAAUCCCAGGGCUCAACCCGGGAAUUGCCUUCAUGACUGCAAAGCUCGAGGAUGCGAGAGGUGAAUGGAAUUCCGAGUGUAGAGGUGAAAUUCGUAGAUAUUCUGAAGAACACCAGUGGCGAAUGCGAUUCACUGGCGCAUUUCUGACGCUGAGGUGCGAAAGCGUGGGGAGCAAACAGG